rnacentral:rRNA from 1 species
UACAGAGGUCUCAACCGUUGUUCGGAUUCAUUGGGCGUAAAGGGUGCGUAGGCGGCGAGGAAAGUCAGGUGUGAAAUCUCGGGGCUCAACCCCGAAACUGCACUUGAUACUGCCUUGCUCGAGUACUGGAGAGGAGACUGGAAUUUACGGUGUAGCAGUGAAAUGCGUAGAUAUCGUAAGGAAGACCAGUGGCGAAGGCGAGUCUCUGGACAGUUACUGACGCUGAGGCACGAAGGCCAGGGGAGCAAACGGG